UACGUAGGGGCCUAGCGUUGUCCGGAUUUAUUGGGCGUAAAGAGCUCGUAGGCGGUUUGGUGAGUCGGGUGUGAAAAUCCAGGGCUCAACCCUGGACCUGCAUUCGAUACGGGCAGACUAGAGUUCGGUAGGGGAGACUGGAAUUCCUGGUGUAGCGGUGAAAUGCGCAGAUAUCAGGAGGAACACCAAUGGCGAAGGCAGCUCGCUGGGACGUGACUGACGCUGAGACGCGAAAGCGUGGGGAGCAAACAGG
rnacentral:rRNA from 1 species